rnacentral:rRNA from 1 species
GAUGAACGCUGGCGGCGUGCCUAAUACAUGCAAGUCGAGCGAACAGAUAAGGAGCUUGCUCCUUUGACGUUAGCGGCGGACGGGUGAGUAACACGUGGGUAACCUACCUAUAAGACUGGGAUAACUUCGGGAAACCGGAGCUAAUACCGGAUAAUAUUUCGAACCGCAUGGUUCGAUAGUGAAAGAUGGUUUUGCUAUCACUUAUAGAUGGACCCGCGCCGUAUUAGCUAGUUGGUAAGGUAACGGCUUACCAAGGCGACGAUACGUAGCCGACCUGAGAGGUUGAUCGGCCACACUGGAACUGAGACACGGUCCAGACUCCUACGGGAGGCAGCAGUAGGGAAUCUUCCGCAAUGGGCGAAAGCCUGACGGAGCAACGCCGCGUGAGUGAUGAAGGUCUUCGGAUCGUAAAACUCUGUUAUUAGGGAAGAACAUACGUGUAAGUAACUGUGCACGUCUUGACGGCACCUAAUCAGAAAGCCACGGCUAACUACGUG